rnacentral:lncRNA from 1 species
CCCUAAUCUAUCGUAUUCAGCCGCACAUCAACAUUCAGCUCGCUCCCCUCAAAAACUCCGAUCACCGGAGAUACGAUCUCCGACCGAAUUCCGGCGUCACACCAAAUCCCCUUCUCUUUGUAUCGGAUUACCCUCUCACCUUUCUAUACCACACACCCUCUUCGUAUUCAGCCGCACCCUCUGUAUCACCGAUGACAACGAGCAGAGAAGGAACAGAGAAAGGGAGACGGGAGAGGAAGAGAGCGGCGUCGUUUGCUUCUUCGGCGACCACCCGGUGAUACCCCGUUUCGGCCGUCUUCUGAUAGCGAUGAUGAUUGAAGAUGAUGAUGAAUCUGGGCAGUGACGGUGCAACGGUGUCGGGCAGUGGCGGCGUUUUAAGCCCAGGUGGGGCUCUGACUAGCGGCGGAGGUAGUGGUGCGGAUAUCGGCUCAGAACAUGAAGCGAUGGCAGCACAACACACCCCUUUGGUCUCGUGAAAUCUUUCGGUACUUAUGGAGCUUGCACAGGGAGGCGCGGUCGUUGUGGAACAUGGACGGUGGAUGCCAAACAUUAUAACAUUUCGAACUUAAUACUUAUGUUUGGGUUUUCA